rnacentral:rRNA from 1 species
AAGUUUUCGGAUGGAAGCUUGUAAACUUAGUGGCGGACGGGUGAGUAACGUGUGGGCAACCUGCCCUAUACUGGGGAAUAAUCACUGGAAACGGUGACUAAUACCGCAUGUCAUCACGAGAAGGCAUCUUUUUGUGAGAAAAGGAGUAAUUCGGUAUAGGAUGGGCCCGCAUCUGAUUAGCUAGUUGGUGAGAUAACAGCCCACCAAGGCGACGAUCAGUAGCCGACCUGAGAGGGUGAUCGGCCACAUUGGGACUGAGACACGGCCCAAACUCC